rnacentral:rRNA from 1 species
UACGUAGGGUGCGAGCGUUAAUCGGAAUUACUGGGCGUAAAGAGCGCGCAGGCGGUCGUUCAAGUCGAGUGUGAAAGCCCCCGGCUCAACUGGGGAGGGUCAUUCGAUACUGAUCGACUUGAAGGCAGGAGAGGGAAGCGGAAUUCCCGGUGUAGUGGUGAAAUGCGUAGAUAUCGGGAGGAACACCAGUGGCGAAGGCGGCUUCCUGGACCAAUACUGACGCUGAGGAGCGAAAGCCAGGGGAGCAAACGGG